rnacentral:tRNA from 1 species
GGGCGAUUGGCGCAGUGGUAGCGCGCUUCGUUCACACCGAAGAGGUCACUGGUUCGAACCCAGUAUCGCCCGCCA